CUGUUGAGGCGCUGGUGGGGCGGUGGCGUGCUGAGGGUGUGCGGGUGCGCCGCUUGGCGGUGAGUCACGCGUUCCAUUCGCAUUUGAUGGA
rnacentral:tRNA from 1 species